rnacentral:rRNA from 1 species
AGAGUUUGAUCCUGKCUCAGGACGAACGCUGGCGGCGUGCUUAACACAUGCAAGUCGAAYGAUGAAAGAGGAGCUUGCUCYUCUGGAUUAGYGGCGAACGGGUGAGUAACACGUGAGCAAUCUGCCCCUGACUCCGGAAUAACUACGGGAAACUGUAGCUAAUACCGGAUAUGCGCCGAMCAGGCAUCUGUAUCGGUGGGAAAGAAUUUCGGUCAGGGAUGAGCUCGCGSCCUAUCAGCUUGUUGGUGAGGUAACGGCUCACCAAGGCGACGACGGGUAGCCGSCCUGAGAGGGUGACCGGCCACAUUGGGACUGAGACACGGCCCAGACUCCUACGGGAGGCASCAGUGGGGAAUAUUGCMCAAUGGGCGCAAGCCUGAUGCAGCAACGCCGCGUGAGGGAUGACGGCCUUCGGGUUGUAAACCUCUUUUAGCAGGGAAGAAGCGAAAGUGACGGUACCUGCAGAAAAAGCGCCGGCUAACUACGUGCCAGCAGCCGCGGUAAU